rnacentral:rRNA from 1 species
CCUACGGGAGGCAGCAGUGAGGAAUAUUGGUCAAUGGGCGCUAGCCUGAACCAGCCAAGUCGCGUGAAGGAUGACUGCCCUAUGGGUUGUAAACUUCUUUUAUAUGGGAAUAAAGUGCAGUAUGUAUACUGCUUUGCAUGUACCUUAUGAAUAAGGAUCGGCUAACUCCGUGCCAGCAGCCGCGGUAAUACGGAGGAUCCGAGCGUUAUCCGGAUUUAUUGGGUUUAAAGGGAGCGUAGGCGGGUUGUUAAGUUAGGUGUGAAAGUUUGCGGCUCAACCGUAGAAUUGCAUUUGAUACUGGCAUCCUUGAGUACAGUAGAGGUAGGCGGAAUGCGUGGUGUAGCGGUGAAAUGCUUAGAUAUCACGAAGAACUCCGAUUGCGAAGGCAGCCUGCUGGACUGUAACUGACGCUGAGGAACGAAAGCGUGGGUAGCAAACAGGAUUAGAUACCCUUGUAGUC